GACGAACGCUGGCGGCGUGCCCAAUACAUGCAAGUGGAACGCAUUUUAAUCACCGUAGCUUGCUACACCGAAUAAAAUGAGUCGCGAACGGGUGAGUAACGCGUAGGUAACCUACCUUCUAGCGGGGGACAACUAUUGGAAACGAUAGCUAAUACCGCAUAAGACAUUAUAUCGCAUGAUAGGAUGUUAAAAGAUACAAUUGUAUCACUAGGAGAUGGACCUGCGUUGUAUUAGCUAGUUGGUGAGGUAACGGCUCACCAAGGCAGCGAUACAUAGCCGACCUGAGAGGGUGAUCGGCCACACUGGGACUGAGACACGGCCCAGACUCCUACGGGAGGCAGCAGUAGGGAAUCUUCGGCAAUGGGGGCAACCCUGACCGAGCAACGCCGCGUGAGUGAAGAAGGUUUUCGGAUCGUAAAGGCUCUGUUGUAAGCGAAGAAGAGUGUUAGGAGUGGAAAAUCUAACACAUGACGGUAGCUUACCAGAAAGGGACGGCUAACUACGUGCCAGCAGCCGCGGUAAUACGUAGGUCUCGAGCGUUGUCCGGAUUUAUUGGGCGUAAAGCGAGCGCAGGCGGUUAGAUAAGUCAGAAGUUAAAGGCUGUGGCUCAACCAUAGUAUGCUUUUGAAACUGUUUAACUUGAGUGCAGAAGGGGAGAGUGGAAUUCCAUGUGUAGCGGUGAAAUGCGUAGAUAUAUGGAGGAACACCGGUGGCGAAAGCGGCUCUCUGGUCUGUGACUGACGCUGAGGCUCGAAAGCGUGGGUAGCGAACAGGAUUAGAUACCCUGGUAGUCCACGCCGUAAACGAUGAGUGCUAGGUGUUAGACCCUUUCCGGGGUUUAGUGCCGUAGCUAACGCAUUAAGCACUCCGCCUGGGGAGUACGACCGCAAGGUUGAAACUCAAAGGAAUUGACGGGGGCCCGCACAAGCGGUGGGAGCAUGUGGUUUAAUUCGAAGCAACGCGAAGAACCUUACCAGGUCUUGACAUCCCUCUGACCGGUCUAGAGAUAGGCUUUCCCUUUUGGGCAGAGGAGACAGGUGGUGCAUGGUUGUCGUCAGCUCGUGUCGUGAGAUGUUGGGUUAAGUCCCGCAACGAGCGCAACCCUUAUUGUUAGUUGCCAUCAUUGAGUUGGGCACUCUAGCGAGACUGCCGGUAAUAAACCGGAGGAAGGUGGGGAUGACGUCAAAUCAUCAUGCCCCUUAUGACCUGGGCUACACACGUGCUACAAUGGUUGGUACAACGAGUCGCAAGCCGGUGACGGCAAGCUAAUCUCUUAAAGCCAAUCUCAGUUCGGAUUGUAGGCUGCAACUCGCCUACAUGAAGUCGGAAUCGCUAGUAAUCGCGGAUCAGCACGCCGCGGUGAAUACGUUCCCGGGCCU
rnacentral:rRNA from 1 species